AGAACUUCUGAAAUGAGUGAAGUUUUGUGUAAGUAUUGCAGGCAAGCUUGUUGGCUAACCGAUUCACGUUGUGAUAAAUCUUACUCAGAAAUCAAAGUUGGAAAAGAAGGUGAAAACAAUGAUGCGUUUUUCUAUCGUCUACUGUUGCUUGACGAUAUGAACCAAAAAACAAAGG